CCUGUAGUCUCAGCUACUUGGGAGGCUGAGACAGAAGAAUAACUUGAAUUGGGGAGAGGGAGGUUGCAGUAAGCCAAGAUCGCACCACUGCACUCCAGCCUGGUGACAGUGAGACUCUCUCU